UACGAAGGGGGCUAGCGUUGCUCGGAAUCACUGGGCGUAAAGGGCGCGUAGGCGGCGUUUUAAGUCGGGGGUGAAAGCCUGUGGCUCAACCACAGAAUGGCCUUCGAUACUGGGAUGCUUGAGUAUGGUAGAGGUUGGUGGAACUGCGAGUGUAGAGGUGAAAUUCGUAGAUAUUCGCAAGAACACCGGUGGCGAAGGCGGCCAACUGGACCAUUACUGACGCUGAGGCGCGAAAGCGUGGGGAGCAAACAGG
rnacentral:rRNA from 1 species